UAAUUUUUUUUUUUUUUUUUUUUUUUUUUUUUUAGAAGCAGUGUCAUUCUAUUUUGUGUUUAUGUAUCUUAUAGGAUUUCUGUUUCUGUUGGAAUAAUAGGAUUCAUUGAAAUCUCUAUAAUGUGUAUGGUAGAAAAUAUCUUGUGAACUUGAAAUUUCACCAGUUAUAUUUAUAGAAGAAUAAAAAUGGAAGAUGUUUUUAGGCCUUUUUGAACUUCAGCAUUAAUGCCAGUGCACACUUGAACUUCAUUAUCUGUGAAAACGCACAGAGAAUUAGUAUACGUCUAUCUAAAAGUUAAAGAACAAGUAAAGGGUCUUUGUUAUUUGUGUUUAAUAUAAAGAUAGAAUUGAGGAGUAAACUUCAGAUUUUAUUUAAAAUGAAGCAGGGUAUUUAAAAUUAUAUUAAUCAUUUCUGUGAAACUUUGGGAGUAAAGAGCAGAGUGUAUAUCCUCUGGUAGUGAUAGUAUCGGAAUCAAAGAUCUUACUUUUCCCCCCUAUUAAAAAAAGUAGUUCAUGAACAUGUAAAGAAAAAAACUAUUCAAACAGUACCAAAGAGUGGAUAGUGAAAGUAGUUUUCUUCUUCACCCUAGCUUGUCUUAUUUUCUUAUUUCAGUUAGAAAUGUCUUUGUGUUUUUGUAAUUUUCUGUGCAUAUGGAAAGAAGUAUAGCUCCCUUAUUUUAGCACGAAUUGGAGUUUGCUACAUAUACUGUUCUUCAUUCUGCUUUUCAAAUCUUUUUUGAUACAGAGCUAAAUGGAUAAGCAUUAAAGAUUGCAUCCUCCUGGUCCAAUAAAGUAUAAUUAGCAUUACCUUAAAUAUGUCUUUUCCACCUAGUGUUAUUGAAUAGUAAGUGAGUAAGCUCAAGACAUGUUUACAGAGCUACAGAUUACAGUCUCAUACAUACUUAUAUAAGAUGUUAACUGAUUGAUUUAAAAAAUCUGAAUCAAAAUUUUCCUUUAAACUUACAUUUUAGGGAAACAAGAAAAUUCAGACCUUUACUAUAUUUCUUGUUGGCCCUUUUGCUCUGCUUUUCUGGGACUGAGCUGUAGUAUGAGAGAAACAGUGCUCUUUCUUCUUUACAUCUUCCCUAUUACUGUAUAUCAGUUUUCAUUUUACAGCACCUUUGGUUAUAUAUGUGUAGAUUCUGGCCAAGAUUAAUUCAGAGCUGUAACACUGAUUUGAUACCAGGCUGCAUGAGUGUGGUACAUUGGAAAAGAGACCAGUGACUGAAAUUUUUAUUCUGGUUCUACAAAUUGAUAAUAGAACUCCUUCAACUUUUAUUUUUUGUUGUUAUUAUUAAAACAUGGAAGAUACAGUUGUAUAAUCCUCGACAAAUUCUUUGUAUUUUCUGGACCUUAAUUCACUUUACAUAGAAGGUGAUAUAUGGAUUAACAAUGCAGUUUUUGUGAUUUUUUAGAAUUGAUUCAUUUGUGAUAGUAAAGGUGUUUUCUGAGGUCUCCGUUUUAAUAGGCAGAGCUUUGAUCAAUUGGGAAAUAUUAAUGGACAGAAAUAAAGUAGAUAAUGGUUCUCUAGUUUGCCUACUCUUCAGUAAGCCGGUUUUCACAACUUAAUCUUUACCCAUUAGUAAGUGGCAUAUACUGCAACUGAUCACCUUCCUGUCUGCCUUCUUUUUUUAUAAAAAAGAACAAUCCAGUAUUGUUAAGGUCCACCAAUAUAAUUUUUUGGUUUGUUUUCAAAGCUACUUGAACAAAUUGAAAUAACUGUUCUUGUAGUUAUUUGUAGAAAUAGCUUCAGAAAUAAUAUGAAGUAUAGGGAUAAUAGGCUAUUAUAUUGUUUAUUUAUUUAUUUUCUACAGAGAAGUCCUAGAGAAUAUAUCUACAAAAUAGAAACUUCCUUCAUUCAGAUAAUCAUAAAGAUGGUACCAGAGAGCAGUGGGAGGGGCAGAAGGAGAAUCAGCUUGCCUGCUGAGCAGGACUCUGGGAUCAUGACCUGAGCUGAAGCAGAUGCCUAAUGGACUGAACCACCCUGGCCAUGGCAGAUUUGUCAGCAAGAAGUUAUGUGAAACUCUCAUAGCAAAACCUAAAAAUAAGUACUUUGUUUUUGUAAUUAGGCCCAUAUCACAUUUAAGCUGACCUUAAGAAUUUUUAGAUCUGUAGGAAGGUCUGUAGACUUGAGUGAAAAAGGAUUUCUGCUAUUCUUUGUUGAUGAGUCCUCGAUAUUGUUCAUUCCUCUUCCAUAGUAUUUAUUUAUCAGCAUACCGGCACUUUAUUGUAAUGUGCUUGGUCUUAAUAGAAUCUUAACAGAAAUAAAUUCAAGUCUGUGGUUGUCUGUGGUACUCUCCAUGCCAUAACCCAGUUUAACUGAUGCACUUGGAACUUGGAGCUGAAUUAAAUGAAUUAAAUAACACCUAUUCAGUUUCA